rnacentral:rRNA from 2 species
GAGACCUCAGGUCAGGCGGGACUACCCGCUGAAUUUAAGCAUAUCAAUAAGCGGAGGAAAAGAAACUAACAAGGAUUC